AGCGCGCGUAGGUGGUUUGGUAAGCGAGAUGUGAAAGCCCCGGGCUUAACCUGGGAACGGCAUUUCGAACUGUCAGACUAGAGUGUGGUAGAGGGUAGUGGAAUUUCCUGUGUAGCGGUGAAAUGCGUAGAUAUAGGAAGGAACACCAGUGGCGAAGGCGGCUACCUGGACCAACACUGACACUGAGGUGCGAAAGCGUGGGGAGCAAACAGGAUUAGAU
rnacentral:rRNA from 1 species